CCUACGGGAGGCAGCAGUAAGGGAUAUUGGUCAAUGGGCGAAACCCUGAACCAGCAACGUCGCGUGAGGGAAGACGGUUCUCGGAUUGUAAACCUCUGUUCUUUGUGAAGUUGAUGACGGUAGCAGAGGAGGAAGCUCCGUCUAACUACGUUCCAGCAGCCGCGGUAAUACGGAGGGAGCGAGCGUUGUCCGGAUUUACUGGGUGUAAAGGGUGCGUAGGCGGCUUGGCAAGUCAGUAGUGAAAUCCAUGGGUUUAACCCAUGAACUGCUAUUGAAACUGUCGAGCUUGAGUGAAGUAGAGGUAGGCGGAAUUCGCGGUGUAGCGGUGAAAUGCGUAGAGAUCGCGAGGAACACCGGUGGCGAAGGCGGCCUACUAGGCUUUAACUGACGCUGAGGCACUAAAGCGUGGGUAGCAAACAGGAUUAGAUACCCCGGUAGUC
rnacentral:rRNA from 1 species